CGCAAACAUGGAUUUAAAAUUACAUUUCAUUAAUCAAGUUUUAACUAAUUGAAUUCAAAAAUCAGGUGUUAAUUAUAUUUUUAAUAUUAAUAAUAACUAUUAUUAAAUCGAGUCCACCCAUCAUCUCUCAUCCCUCUCUCAAAACCUUCCAACAACCACUUUCUCUCGUCGGCGACCACCUUUGUCGCCAACAAACAUUCCCUCCACAGCCGACUACUCACCGGCACCCAAGAAACGAUCCGUCUUCAUUCACCACCGUGGACAGCAUCGCACAAAGUAUCGAGCACAAGAAACGUGAAAGGCAGAACAACUGCUCCGAAAUCCUAGAGCUAUCAACGGUUGAGAUCUGCUACGAGUAUAUAAAAAUCAAGGUGCUUCCAUUUUUCCUUCACUCUGCUAUUAAGAAUUUUCCUCUGACGUCACACUCCUCAUUUCGCUCCGACGCUCAAUCAGGAUUAAAAAAUUAGUUGGCUUGUAAUUAGAUUUUUUUUUUUUUUUGAAUUGAAAUAAAAUUGAUAGAUUAAAUUACUAUUUGGUUGUGUAUUUUGACAUUAUUUCUUAAUUUUUGUUGAGUUUGAGGAGAAGCGCAUGAAGAAAGGUCAGAUAGACUCGCAUUUGAUAGCAAAAUGGAGCAAUGUGACGCCAUUACCGUUGUUGAUGCAAUGAUUACUGUUGCAAAUGGAACGACUAUUAAUGGUAAUGGUAGGCGUGAAUUAUAUGAGAGGGGAAAGGGGUGUGGUAGGCUUGAAUUGUGAGAGAUGAUGGUUUUUGGCUUUAUGCCAUUAAUGGUGUUCUGUAUUCUGGGUUUUAUUUUUCCAACUCUCGCUUUAUAUCUAGUCUUGUAAAAAUGAUUAUUGCAUUUUUACAUUGGAUGUGUGGAAUUAUGCUUUUCUGAGUUCCUCUUGCUUAAGUUCUUAUUUUCUGAAAAGUUAAUUGGGAUUGUAUACAGGGUUGUGAUCAAUCAUUUGGUUGAGUGGGGUGGGAUGUUUGUGAUCAAUUAUUUGGUUGAUAGUGAUCGAUAAAUUGGUUUAUUUGUAAUUAAUAAAUAAUGUGUGA
rnacentral:lncRNA from 1 species